CAGUAGCCGCGGUAAUACGUAGGUGGCAAGCGUUGUCCGGAAUUAUUGGGCGUAAAGCGCGCGCAGGCGGGUAGGUCAGUCUGUCUUAAAAGUUCGGGGCUUAACCCCGUGAUGGGAUGGAAACUGCCAAUCUAGAGUAUCGGAGAGGAAAGUGGAAUUCCUAGUGUAGCGGUGAAAUGCGUAGAUAUUAGGAAGAACACCAGUGGCGAAGGCGACUUUCUGGACGAAAACUGACGCUGAGGCGCGAAAGCCAGGGGAGCGAACGGGAUUAGAUACCCGGGUAGUCCCUGUCUCUUAUACA
rnacentral:rRNA from 1 species